rnacentral:rRNA from 1 species
AUUGAACGCUGGCGGCAGGCCUAACACAUGCAAGUCGAACGAGUGGCGGACGGGUGAGUAAUGUCUGGGAAACUGCCUGAUGGAGGGGGAUAACUACUGGAAACGGUAGCUAAUACCGCAUACCAUCAGAUGUGCCCAGAUGGGAUUAGCUAGUUGGUGGGGUAACGGCUCACCAAGGCGACGAUCCCUAGCGGGUCUGAGAGGAUGACCAGCCAAACGGGAACUGAGACACGUUCCAGCCUCUUACGGUAGGCAGCAGUGGGGACUAUUGCACAAUGGGGGCAAGCCCGACGAAGCCAUGCCGAGUGUAUGAAGAAGGCCUUCGCGUUGGAAAGUACUUUCAGCGGGGAGGCGGUACCCGCAGAAGAAGGACCGGCUAACUCCGUGCCAGCAGCCGCGGUAAUUC